rnacentral:tRNA from 1 species
GGGCAGUUGGCGCAGCGGUAGCGCACCUGCUUUACACGCAGAGGGUCGGGGGUUCGAAUCCCUCACUGCCCA